GUUUGGCUGCAGGAGGUGAGGCAGCAACAUUGCCUGGUCUUAGGGCUGCUGUAUACAACCUGGAGAUGCCCAGAUCCUGAUGGUCAGCUGAGUAUCGGGAUCCAACACCAGGCAGCCUUGGACUCAGUGCUGUCCCCAUCCUUAUCAUGAAGAAACUUGGGGCUCCAGAUGUACUCCAAUGAAUAGUUUCAUCACAUCUAGUUCCCUACAACCAUGAGCAUGUACACCCUGAUGAACAUCUACAUGCUGAACCAAGUAAUCCUGAGGGCAGCUGGCUAAAUUCCUAAAGGCAGAAAAUCAAGUGUGUCAGUUCCAGUCAGACGGGGAAAGGGGAUCCACAUAAAUUAAUUCUCCAGCAAAACAGGUAAUGUGCCAAUUAUUUCCCAGAUGGAUCUUCCUAAACUACAUAUGAGUUACACUAUGGAUUAAUUUGAGCCAUGCUACACAUAUUGGACACAAUAACAAGAAGAAAUAAAGACCUUUCAAUGCUGGGGAGAAGCGAGAUCUGUUCUACUUUCCACGGCCUAUUCCAGAUUCCUAAUCAAAACUAGGUUCCCCGGUUAAUGCCAGAGUUGAAGAAUCUUAAGAGAAUGGAACAUCUUUCAUGUGCAACUAUUCCAAAGUAUUUUCCUUCAAUAUAUUUGGAAUAUUUGAAACCAAGGUCUAACAGCAAUUAAAAACACAUGUCAAAUCGAUUGUCAUGGUACAUAGAUUAAACCAGUAAAGAUUAGUAACUCUCAAAGGAUUGACUCAAAAUUGGCUUUUAUGUGAAGUUUGGAUGACCUUAUGAGCUUUAUGAGUUAAGACUGAAUCUCUGGAAAGUCCUACUAUUUCCUCCUCUUUUCUAUGUAGUAAGCAUAACUCUUUCAGUAUAGUGCCCUUAAAAUUAUACUCCUAAUUCAUAACAUUUGCUUUUUGUAAUACCAUAGUUACCCAAAUCCAAUAUGACUGAAUUUAAAAUAACCGCACCAAUAAUUAGGUUCUAUACAUGGGAAACGUGUAUAUAUAUUUAUUAUAAUUUUCCAUGCGUAACAUCUAAUGAUCCCCGCUCCCCACCAACCACUACAGGUAGGCAAUUGGGGGUGGAGGGGGGAAGGUGGCCAGGCAGUAGAGGGGCAUAGAUGGCAUGGAGUCAAGUGGUCUAGUGCCUGUUCCUUACCU